rnacentral:rRNA from 1 species
GACGAACGCUGGCGGCGUGCUUAACACAUGCAAGUCGAACGGAAAGGCCCUGCUUUUGUGGGGUGCUCGAGUGGCGAACGGGAGAGUAACACGUGAGUAACCUGCCCUUGACUUUGGGAUAACUUCAGGAAACUGGGGCUAAUACCGGAUAGGAGCUCCUGCUGCAUGGUGUGGGUUGGAAAGUUUCGGCGGUUGGGGAUGAACUCGCGGCUUAUCAGCUUGUUGGUGGGGUAGUGGCUUACCAAGGCUUUGACGGGUAGCCGGCCUGAGGGGGUAACCGGCAUCAUGGGACUUGAGAACGGACCCGCAGGCUGAGGGGGGGCAGUGUGGGGGAUUUUGAGAAAGCGGCGGAAGACUGAUGCAGCAACGCCGCGUGCGGGAUGACGGCCUUCGGGUUGUAAACCGCUUUCGCCUGUGACGAAGCGUGUGUGACGGUAAUGGGUAAAGAAGCACCGGCUAACUACGUG